AGUCGAGCGGGCAUAGCAAUAUGUCAGCGGCAGACGGGUGAGUAACGCGUGGGAACGUACCUUUUGGUUCGGAACAACACAGGGAAACUUGUGCUAAUACCGGAUAAGCCCUUACGGGGAAAGAUUUAUCGCCGAAAGAUCGGCCCGCGUCUGAUUAGCUAGUUGGUGGGGUAAAGGCCCACCAAGGCGACGAUCAGUAGCUGGUCUGAGAGGAUGAUCAGCCACAUUGGGACUGAGACACGGCCCAAACUCCUACGGGAGGCAGCAGUGGGGAAUAUUGGACAAUGGGGGCAACCCUGAUCCAGCCAUGCCGCGUGAGUGAUGAAGGCCCUAGGGUUGUAAAGCUCUUUUGUGCGGGAAGAUAAUGACGGUACCGCAAGAAUAAGCCCCGGCUAACUUCGUGCCAGCAGCCGCGGUAAUACGAAGGGGGCUAGCGUUGCUCGGAAUCACUGGGCGUAAAGGGUGCGUAGGCGGGUCUUUAAGUCAGGGGUGAAAUCCUGGAGCUCAACUCCAGAACUGCCUUUGAUACUGAGGAUCUUGAGUUCGGGAGAGGUGAGUGGAACUGCGAGUGUAGAGGUGAAAUUCGUAGAUAUUCGCAAGAACACCAGUGGCGAAGGCGGCUCA
rnacentral:rRNA from 1 species